rnacentral:rRNA from 1 species
CCUGCCGCGUGAGUGAUGAAGGCCUUAGGGUUGUAAAGCUCUUUCAGUGGGGAAGAUAAUGACGGUACCCACAGAAGAAGCACCGGCUAACUACGUGCCAGCAGCCGCGGUAAUACGUAGGGUGCAAGCGUUAUCCGGAAUUAUUGGGCGUAAAGAGCUCGUAGGCGGUCUGUCGCGUCUGCUGUGAAAACCCGAGGCUCAACCUCGGGCCUGCAGUGGGUACGGGCAGACUAGAGUGCGGUAGGGGAGAUUGGAAUUCCUGGUGUAGCGGUGGAAUGCGCAGAUAUCAGGAGGAACACCGAUGGCGAAGGCAGAUCUCUGGGCCGUAACUGACGCUGAGGAGCGAAAGCGUGGGGAGCGAACAGGAUUAGAUACCCUGGUAGUCCACGCCGUAAACGUUGGGAACUAGAUGUGGGGGCCAUUCCACGGCUUCCGUGUCGCAGCUAACGCAUUAAGUUCCCCGCCUGGGGAGUACGGCCGCAAGGCUAAAACUCAAAGGAAUUGACGG